GUCAGACGCCGGGGCAGGGGCUUUCAGUACCUGGUUGAUUGGGAGGGUUACAACCUGGAGGAACGUUGCUGGGUGCCUCGGUCACGCAUCAUGGACCCUGUCAUGGUGAGGGAGUUCCACAGAGCACACCCUGACAAGCCUGGUGGUCGCCAGGAGGCUCCCGUGGAGAGGGGGGUACUGUGAGGAUUUACAGUAUCUCCCUCCUUCUUCUCUUCUUUGUUUUAUGUUUGUUAUGUUCGUUCUGUCUGUCUGUGUGUCUGUCUCCCUGGCUGGGUGUGGCUGACCCACUUCUGAUUCCCGCCAACUCACCUUCGCAGCUGCUGCUCAUCAUCCUGAUUACACUACUCACCUUCACCUGCUUAUAUGCCCGGUCCUCUCAUCCAGUAUUCACCAGUUCGUCGUUUCACCUCGCUGAAUCCAUCUGCCUACUCCUCUGCCUGCCACAUCCAGCCACGUACCUCUCGUCUGAGUAUCUCCGUGCUUCCACGCACACCGGCUCCAACCUGUCAACUAUCGCCAGCUCUGGAUCGGCGGCUUUCCUCGCCAGUGUGCCUUCGUGCUUCCACGCACACCAGCUCCUUCCUGUCGACUCUCACCAGCUCUGGUCCCCCGGCUCUCCUCGCCAGAGUAUCUCCGUGCAUAUCCGCACCACCUCAGUUAACAAACCCUGGCUUUGGGUUUAUUGGAUAUUUAAUCCCUCGUCUGACUCUAUAUAAGGUUUUUGGUUAAUAAACCUUUUUCUACCUCAAAAGCUCUGUUUCAUCGUCCUGUGUUCAGCAUUGUGAGUUCACUCCUGUAGCUACCGGUGAGCUUAACAGCCGGUAUGA